rnacentral:rRNA from 1 species
CCUACGGGAGGCAGCAGUGGGGAAUAUUGGGCAAUGGGCGCAAGCCUGACCCAGCAACGCCGCGUGAAGGAAGAAGGCUUUCGGGUUGUAAACUUCUUUUCUCAGGGACGAAGAAAGUGACGGUACCUGAGGAAUAAGCCACGGCUAACUACGUGCCAGCAGCCGCGGUAAUACGUAGGUGGCAAGCGUUAUCCGGAUUUAAUGGGUGUAAAGGGCGUGUAGGCGGGAGCGCAAGUCAGAUGUGAAAACUCAGGGCUCAACCCUGAGCCUGCAUUUGAAACUGUGUUUCUUGAGUGCUGGGGAGGCAAUCGGAAUUCCGUGUGUAGCGGUGAAAUGCGUAGAUAUACGGAGGAACACCAGUGGCGAAGGCGGAUUGCUGGACAGUAACUGACGCUGAGGCGCGAAAGCGUGGGGAGCAAACAGGAUUAGAUACCCCUGUAGUC